UUAUUAUAUAUUUAAUUAUAUUUGUUUAUUUAUAUAUAUAUAUUAGAAAUAACUAUUAACCUUAGUAUAUUUUAUAAAAAAGGUAUUGAUUAAUAUAUUUAUAGUUUAUUUUACUGUGAAGGAUAUUAAUUAAUUAUAUUAUAAGUAUUUUUUGUUUAUUGUACCUUUUGCAUCAGGGUUUAUCAAUUUAUAUUUAUUAGUUAUAAAUUAUCCCGAAAUUAGAAGAGAUAAUUAAUUUUGUUAGUUAUUAUUUUAUAAAUAUUAAUAAAAUUUAAUUAGGAAAUAUAUUUCAUUCAUUUCUAAAUAUCUGGUUUUUUAAUAAAUGAAUUUAAUUCAGGAUUAUUUUAUAUUAUAAAUAAAUUAAAUUAUUUUGUAAUUAUGAAUAAUCUAAUAUAAUAGGGGAUAAGCUCUUUUAUAUUUUUAUAAUUUAUUUAUUUAUUGGUAAGUUAUAUAGGUUUAGUAAUGGCCAUUAUUUAUUUUGUUAUAAUUAUUUUUGCUAUUUUAUUUAUUUAAUUUAAAUUUAAAUUGUUAUUAAAACACUUAAUUAAAUUAUAAUUUUAAGGUGAUAUUGAUAAAAUUAGUAAUUAUUUGGAAAUUAAUAUAUAGGAACUCGGCAAUAAUUACGUUUGCCUGUUUAUCAAAAACAUGUCUUGAUGUAAUUGAUUUCAAGUCGGACCUGCUCAAUGAUUACCUUUAUAGGGUAUUAAAUAGCCGCAGUAUUUUGACUGUGCGAAGGUAGCAUAAUCAUUUGUCUUUUAAUUGUAGGCUUGUAUGAAUGGUUUAACAAAAUGUAAUCUUUCUUUAUAUUAAUAUUAUGAAUUUAAUUUUUGAGUUAAAAAGCUUAAAUUUAUUUAUAGGACGAGAAGACCCUGUAGAAUUUUACUUAAUAUGUAUUAUUUUAAUUUUGGUUAUUUAUUUUAUUUUAUUUUAUAUUAAGUUUUAUUGGGGCGAUAGGGAAAUUUUAUUAACUUUCUUUUUUUAUUUAUUAUUAAUUUGUAUAUUAUUGAUCCUUAUUUUGGAUAAAAAGAUUAAAUUACCUCAGGGAUAACAGCGUAAUUUCUUUUGAGAGUUCAAAUCGAUAAAGGAGUUUGCGACCUCGAUGUUGGAUUAAAAUUAGUAUAGGGUGCAGUAGCUCUAAUAUUAGGUCUGUUCGACCUUUAAAAUUUUACAUGAUCUGAGUUCAGACCGGCGUGAGCCAGGUUGGUUUCUAUCCUUAAAAUAUAUUUACAUUUUAGUACGAAAGGACCAUAUGUUAAAUUAAAUUAGUUUUAUUAUGAUUUAUAUUAAUAUUAU
rnacentral:rRNA from 1 species